UACGUAGGGGGCAAGCGUUGUCCGGAUUUAUUGGGCGUAAAGAGCGUGUAGGCGGCUUCACAGGUCCGCUGUGAAAACUCGAGGCUCAACCUCGAGCUGUCGGUGGAAACCGUGUGGCUAGAGUCCGGAAGAGGAGAGUGGAAUUCCCGGUGUAGCGGUGAAAUGCGCAGAUAUCGGGAAGAACACCCGUGGCGAAGGCGGCUCACUGGACCACAACUGACGCUGAGGCGCGAAAGCUAGGGGAGCAAACAGG
rnacentral:rRNA from 1 species